UACAGAGGUCCCAAGCGUUGUUCGGAUUCACUGGGCGUAAAGGGUGCGUAGGUGGUGGGGUAAGUCUGAUGUGAAAUCUUCGAGCUUAACUCGGAAAUGGCAUUGGAUACUACUCUGCUAGAGGUUUGGAGGGGGGACUGGAAUUCUCGGUGUAGCAGUGAAAUGCGUAGAUAUCGAGAGGAACACCGGUGGCGAAGGCGGCUUUCUGGACAGAAACUGACGCUGAUGCGCGAAAGCUAGGGGAGCAAACAGG
rnacentral:rRNA from 1 species